GACGAACGCUGGCGGCGCGCCUAACACAUGCAAGUCGAACGAGAGAGAAGGAGCUUGCUUCUUCGAUCGAGUGGCGAACGGGUGAGUAACGCGUGAGGAACCUGCCUCAAAGAGGGGGACAACAGUUGGAAACGACUGCUAAUACCGCAUAAGCCCACAGGUCGGCAUCGACCUGAGGGAAAAGGAGCAAUCCGCUUUGAGAUGGCCUCGCGUCCGAUUAGCUAGUUGGUGAGGUAACGGCCCACCAAGGCGACGAUCGGUAGCCGGACUGAGAGGUUGAACGGCCACAUUGGGACUGAGACACGGCCCAGACUCCUACGGGAGGCAGCAGUGGGGAAUAUUGCACAAUGGGGGAAACCCUGAUGCAGCGACGCCGCGUGGAGGAAGAAGGUCUUCGGAUUGUAAACUCCUGUUGUUGAGGAAGAUAAUGACGGUACU
rnacentral:rRNA from 1 species